CUUCAGCCCAUGGUUGAGAGCAGUGAAUAAGACUUUGCAGGCGGGGCAAGUGAGGUUCUGCCACCCAAAGGCACUCUGGAGCGGCGGCGCUAUGGCACUGAAUUUGACAGAAUGGCCUUCAGAAGGAAGAGGAUAAGCUCUGGCAGGAACCCAAAGAACCGUGGAGUCAAACAGAGCCAGAACCAGCGCCAAGCCCAGCCCCAUCCAAAGGAGUCCCACUCUGGGUGCCGAUUCCUAGAAUAGAUGCCCGGCUCAGCUGGUCAUUAAACUGAGAAGAUUAACUAGAGAGGGCUGGGGCAGCGAUGCUUGCAUUGAGCGGAUUGACCUGCCAUGGACGGUCCUCCCCUCGAUUUCCUAUGCUCUGCCACCAUUACAGCAGCCUUGAAU
rnacentral:lncRNA from 1 species